UGGGGAAUUUUGGACAAUGGGGGAAACCCUGAUCCAGCCAUCCCGCGUGUGCGAUGAAGGCCUUCGGGUUGUAAAGCACUUUUGGCAGGAAAGAAACGUCGCGGGUUAAUACCCCGCGGAACUGACGGUACCUGCAGAAUAAGCACCGGCUAACUACGUGCCAGCAGCCGCGGUAAUACGUAGGGUGCAAGCAUUAAUCGGAAUUACUGGGCGUAAAGCGUGCGCAGGCGGUUCGGAAAGAAAGAUGUGAAAUCCCAGAGCUUAACUUUGGAACUGCAUUUUUAACUACCGGGCUAGAGUGUGUCAGAGGGAGGUGGAAUUCCGCGUGUAGCAGUGAAAUGCGUAGAUAUGCGGAGGAACACCGAUGGCGAAGGCAGCCUCCUGGGAUAACACUGACGCUCAUGCACGAAAGCGUGGGGAGCAAACAGGAUUAGAUACCCUGGUAGUCCACGCCCUAAACGAUGUCAACUAGCUGUUGGGGUCUUCGGACCUUGGUAGCGCAGCUAACGCGUGAAGUUGACCGCCUGGGGAGUACGGUCGCAAGAUUAAAACUCAAAUGAAUUGACGGGGUCGAA
rnacentral:rRNA from 1 species